rnacentral:lncRNA from 1 species
CAUGAGCAUGAGAGUCUGAUAGGAGGUCAGCAUCCAAAAUGGGAACAGGACUUUCCGUUCCCCAUCUUUACAAGCCAAGUUUGGUUCUUGGACAUCUGAAGACCCUAGAAAGCCAAAAAUCAGACUCCGUUUGAGAACAUCUACUUUACAGUCACCAGAUCACAAAAGUGUGUUCUUAAGCCAUUAGGUAACAAUGAGAUGGGAGCUUUAUUGAUACUGUAGAAGCUUUACUGAUACUAGAUACUGUAUUCUACCUGCUGCUGGAGAAGCUCUAUGUGGGCAGAAAGACGCCAGAAUCCUGAGUUUCUUUUCCUCCCGCAUUUCUAGGAAAGAGAGGAAAAAAAAAAAAAAAAUCGGAAAGAAAAGAAGAAACUGCUCCUGAUCAGAAACCGUUGAGAGGAAAUCAGAUUUAGGAGGAUCAGAAUAACUUAGUCUCGGCGGACCCGCUGGGAAAAAUGUCCGCCGAGUCUGUUUUCCUGGGGAAAUCAUGCUUUGCGACAGGUGGCUGUCCCACUCAGCACCUGUGCGAUUUCCUUUGUGAUUCUCCACUGCCUGAAGUAGGGCAGACUUUAACAUACCCAUUAUGUAAGGAAGAGAAGUUAAAACCCUGGAGAGUUAGAAUGACCUGAGCAAAUUCCAUAGCUUCCAAGCCUUAGGGUUAGGACCGGACACCAGUGUUUUCCUUUUGCUCAUCUGUUUUACUUUAUUCCAGUUUUCUUCCCCCUGAUCAUCAUGCUCAGGAGGACUGGGACGACCCACGUGAUUCUGUAGAGAUCAAGUGGGCAGAGCUUGGAUGAGGCCAAGCCAGGAAGGUCGAGGUUGCUGUCCUUCCCUCUUCUCAGGACACGUGGCUCUCCUGGAUGCUGGGUUUAUCCGGUGCCCAGCUGCACGCGGGAUAACGAGCAACUAGUAUUCCACGACCGUAUCAAGGAAGUUGAGGAGAAAGAAACAAAGACCCUGGACGUUGCUCCCUGGCCUUUCUUCGUGAGCGUCCUGCAGGUUCAUCUGAUCCGCUCCUGGAAGAGCCCGGGGUUGAGAUGGGAUUUCUGCCAGAAGGAGGAUGGGCACUCGACGGCCUCGCCAUCUGCACUGUGCACGUCGCCCAUCCCCCACCCCCACCCCCAAAGCACACAAAGGAAAGUUGCUGGAGCCCGGAUGCUCAGGCCUGUGCCCAGUUGUGUGCCCCACUGGAGACAAUGCCAUCUGGUUAAAAGAAAUACCCUUGCAUCUCUAAACCGUUGGACGGAAGCAGAAGCCCCCUCCCCACCCCCCGGCGCUAGCUCGGAAAGGCUCUCUGGAACCCUCGAACUGGGACCUUCAACCUCAGUUCUUGGCCUUGGCCUCGCCUCUCCCACCUGAAGACACUCCUCCGUCGGGGAGAAAUUAGGAAGAUUUACUGCAAUGCCGGGGAGAGGACUUCAUUGGACGAUAAAGAAAGAGAGACCAAAAUUUAGUUCUCGAGAGAUUAAAUAGGUUGCUCCCUAAAAAAAUGGUCCCCCGGUGGUAUUUCAUUGGUGUUUGGCAGAGGGUGCCCUUUAGAGUGAGAAGAAGGUGUGUGUAAGUCACGGGAGGGUGGGCGGAAUGAAAUAAACGUACCAUCCCCUGGACCUGGAGAACCCAGUGCGGGUGAACUUGGCCGCUUGGACUGUGGAUGUCAAUCAAAGUAAUGUGUUGGGGGAAGGGGGAGGAAGUUUGUCACCCGUUUUAAUAUCAGAAAUUCCUUUACGUGGGUGGUAACUGGGGAACAGCUGCAGGUAGCUGAAUCACAGCCCAAAUCCUUGCAAAAACGCUGGUGGGACCCCUGCCAACAACUGAGCAAUGGCUUUUCAAGCUGGAAG